GUGCUUGCUUCGGCAGCACAUAUACUAAAAUGGAACAAUACAGAGAAGAGUAGCACGGCCCAUAGGCAAGAAUUACAAGUCAAUUCACAAAGCAUUCCAUAUUUUU
ensembl:snRNA U6 U6 spliceosomal RNA